ensembl:lincRNA
ACAGUGAGCUUUCCUUUUUCUUUUUCACAGAUUUUAUUCUUGUACCUGCUAACUGCCUUCACUAUUCUGUACAAAAUAUAGAUGCCAAGAUUGCAUGAUGAAACAAAACAAAACAAAUGAGACAGACAAUCUGUGCUUUGGAAGAGGUAACAAAUGCAAAUUAAUGCCAUGUGCUCUAAGAUUUGAGAGUUCGUGUCAUGUGUUUUGUGAUCUCUUCUCUCGUAUGAUGGAAUGAGUCCUGUGUUGAGGAUCAUGCACAUAGAAUCAACCACUGCCAAGACAGGCCAACAUCAUGUGAUGAUAAUAACACACUGGAAGAUUAUGGAAAUCAGAGGUCCUAGUAUUAACUUGUGUUCAGUCAUCUACAGUUUGUGUAACACUGGGGAGAUUUCAGCUCUUCGAGAAUAAGGCUCUGUCUUCUACUCUGGUUAUUUUCCUGGCACCAGCACUGGUCCUUGACAAACUUACCAGCAGGCAGACCAUGGUGUAUAUGCACAACGCUCACCCCUGCAGAAGUUAGAGUCUCCAUGCUGCAAAAGUUCAUUGAUUGAAUUGGAUGUCACACAACUGAUCGAUUAGGGAUUGCUAUCUACACAGCCCGCUAUUGGUUUUACUUCCAUUGCUGUUGGGAACAAUCAUCUUGGGCAAGGGAAGGAAUCGGUGGUGAGCGGUGCAGAAUUGCAUAGCUGUUCUGUCUCACCAGCUGGCUGGUCCUCUGGCCUUGCAAAUAUUUGCUGACCAUCUGUGGCUGGGAACCAAGCUGCCAUUUACUUUCAUAGUCUAGAUAGAGUCGUGUUGAUCUGUAUCUGGUCAUAUGUGUUGUUCAGUAUUCUUCAGUAUUCAGUGAUAUUUAAGAUUCACGUUGUCAAUUUGAGCAACCAGUGGAUUAUUUUUGGCUUUGAGUAACGAAAAACACACUUUGAACUAUAAAAUCACUUUUAUUAUUGAAAUUCCUGCAGACAUAAUUCUGUUUUACAAGUUUGAAAUUCUCUGGCUUCUCAUCCUUUUGUUCCUCAGAAAUCAUUGUUUAUGCACACAAUUGUUUGAUCUUUCUUUUCUAAAGGGUAGAGUGUUAGAACAUUCUGGAGUCUCAGACUCUUGGAGUUGGCAGGGGAUGUGGGGGUUGUCUUGUGCACAGUGUCUUAUCCCGGCUGUGGGCUGACUUCUGCACCAUGGUUUGGGGGGUGCCAAUACGGAGGAAGUGUGGGCAGAAGCCACAGGCACCUCCUCCUGCAGAAGGAAGAGGACAUGAGCCAGUAAUAUUCAUUUAUUCUCACCAAUAACUUGACUUAGACCCACCCAAAAGCUUCCAGCCCAUUAAAGAAUUCUUAGCCUCUACCUCAACCUGUCUAGUGAUGGGGAUUUCAAGGUCCCCCAAACACUCUUGCUGGAGCGCUCUAGUCUAAUAUUGAAGGGCUGCUGUUUGUUCCUUCUCUCCCUUAUGCCUUGCCCCAUCCUCUGCUUCUCUGCAGACCCAUCCUGGGCAGACCAGCUCUGAGACACACUUUUGAAGCUGAUUCAUGGAGUAGGACAGGUCUCCAGCUACGCCCCAAAGGGUGCUGUGGCUGUCGCUUGCCUGCAGUCCCUUUGAUGGCUUUGUGUUCUGUGCUAUAAAUAAAUCAUUUUGAAUGCUUAUCUGCUUCCCUCUGUUUGCUUUUCAAGUUAUUUUGGGUAACAGUCCUCUUCGGUGUUAGAUGGGGGCC